rnacentral:lncRNA from 12 species
CGCGGCCCGUCCUCGCCCGCAGCGGGCACGGCCAGGGGGCCCCGGAGGCCUCGUUGGUAUUCCGGGCACAGCCGAAGCCUUGACCUCCCCGCGGAACAGAGGCGCCCGGGCGCGCGGGCACGGCCGCCGUCCCCGGGAGGUCUCUCCCGGCUGCGGGGCCCGUAGGCGCCUUGCUUCCCCCCCACCUCCGCGUCCCCUCCUCUCCGGGUCCCCCGUACCCCCUCCCCCGCCCCGAUCCGGCGGCGAAGGGGUGGGCAGGGAAACGCGCUCUCUGGGACAGGUGCCAACUCCGAGACAAAAGACAUAAAAUAGGCGGCAACGUGGGAAGCGCGGCCGGCGCGCUCGGGCGGGGACGGAGGCGCCGCGGGGGCCGCAUCCUCGGUGCCGACCGGGGAAAGUUUGGGAAGUCGCCGCGGCGGCUUCGCAGCGGCGGGGGACGCGCGGGCCGGGCCGCCCUCCGCGCCGCGCUCGCCCUCUCCGCGCCGCUGCUGAAUAAUUCAUGGCGCGGCCGCCGGCCAUUAGCAUGCACCGGGCGCGCGGCGCGUCUGUGCCAAGCCGCCGCCGCCGCCGCAUUCGGCGCCCGGGCCGCGCCAGACGAGCGGCCGCGCGGCAGCCGGGCCCGCGCCGUCCCCGCGCCCGCCCGGCGGCGCCCAUUGUGCCCGGGCCGCGCCGCCCGCCGCCCCUGCGCCGCCCCGCGCAGCCCCGCGCCCGCCCGCAGCCCGCAGCCCGCAGCCCGCAGCGCGCCCGACGGCCCGGCUCCGCAAGUUGGGGCCCGCGCCGCCCGCCCGCCCGGGAGCACGGGAACUUGGAGAAAGUCGCGGGGCGCCCCGGCCCGGACCCCCGCCGCAGGGCGUGGGCGCCCCCCGGCCCGGCGCGCUUUCGGUUUCGCCCCGGACAAAAGUCCCCCGGGGUGCGAGGCGCGGUCGCUGGGACCCGGUGCUGUCCGGCGCUCCCCGGCCGGGUCCGCUGGAUCCUCUCGGCCAGUCCGCGUCGGGAGGGCAGGGGCGGCGAGCCAAGGCGCGCGCCUCGCCCGGCCGCCCGCGCCCCCCAGCCGUGCCGCCCUGCCCGGAGUUGCGGGAGGUGGCUCCGCGCGCGCGGAGGAGGCCGGCGCGGGACAGGGCGCACGCCCGGGGCCGGGGCCGGGGCCGGGGCCGGGGCCGGGGCCGAGCGGGCAGGACAGCGCAGCGCCCUCCGCGUCCCGGCGCGUCCCUCCGCCAAGGGCAGGGCGGUCGACCUGCGUGUCCCGGGUCACCGCCGCGUUGCGUUCCCGGCGACUCCUGAGGAUGGUGGCUCACACACAGGCCCAGCCGGCGGCCCUGGGGGAGUUUGUGGGAAGCAAGAAAUGGGUGAAGGAAUGCGCGUUUGCCGUAAUUACAGGGUUGUAAGGCUGCCUGUUUCCCUAGAGCCCAGGGAGGAACCCAGAGGAACGAGGAGACCAUUUCAGCAAGACCUAGCCAACCCACGCGCAGAGGCCGAAAGUUUGCUUCGGUGCUACAGAGCACACCCUGCCGCUACCUGCUGCCCCCCCCACACCCCCUGCAACCUCCCCACCUCCCCCAUUUUCAAUUUUUAUUUAUGA